GCUCUUAUAAGUAGUCUGCUUAGUUUCCUGAACAUGUUACAGCUUCUCUUGACCCAAGUCAAUAUCUGUUGUCUGAUUUUUGUGGUCUGAUUAUCUUCACUCUCCUACUCUCAAAUAUAUAUCUCCUUGUCCCUCUUUCAAUAUUUAUUUCCCUGAGUCCAGGUUGUUUCCUUACAACCCAAUUUCCUAUCUGAUUUUCUCUAAAAUCUUGGCUGUGUGUUUUUUCUUUUACUUAUUCCUCACAUAGAAAUAUAGUAUCUGUGUGGUCAUUCCUAUUCUAAAAUAUACUGUCAAUAUUGCCAGGUUUGACCUGCUUUGUACAUUGUUUGCUCACUGUUUUAGAUCAAGAUGAUAUCCUUGGGAACGGUAGAAUCUACCAAAAGGGUACCUACUAUUAAGUAACUUGGUGUAUUAAUGUGAACAUAGGCCAGAAAUCCAAAUUUUAGACAUUUCACACUUAUGAGAACAGUUAGAGCACCAACAACUGUGUGAAGAGAGAGGGAAAAAUGCAAGAGUGAAGAAUACAAUUGAAAACCUCACUUCAAGGGAGCACAGGCAUCAGAAUGAAGGAUGGAAAAAAAAAAAAAAAACAUGAUUGAGA